rnacentral:rRNA from 1 species
AGGUGGACUGGGCGCAGCCUGACCGCCUCUCCGCGUGAGUGAAGAAGGCCUUCGGGUUGUAAAGCUCUUUCGCAAGGGAAGAAAACUUAGCCACUAACAUUGGCUGAGGUUGACGGUACCUUGAUAAGAAGCACCGGCUAACUACGUGCCAGCAGCCGCGGUAAUACGUAGGGUGCGAGCGUUAAUCGGAAUUACUGGGCGUAAAGCGUGCGCAGGCGGUUUUGUAAGUCAGAUGUGAAAUCCCCGAGCUCAACUUGGGAACUGCGUUUGAAACUACAAGACUAGAAUAUGUCAGAGGGGGGUAGAAUUCCACGUGUAGCAGUGAAAUGCGUAGAGAUGUGGAGGAAUACCAAUGGCGAAGGCAGCCCCCUGGGAUAAUAUUGACGCUCAUGCACGAAAG